AUACCGAAGCCACAGUGAAAGCGAGCCUGAAUAGGGCGUUUGUCACUAGUUAUAGACCCGAACCCGGAUGAUCUAACCAUGGGCAGGUUGAAGCUUGGGUAAUACUAAGUGGAGGACCGAACCGACUGAUGUUGAAAAAUCAGCGGAUGACUUGUGGUUAGGGGUGAAAUGCCAAUCGAAUUCGGAGCUAGCUGGUUCUCCCCGAAAUGCGUUUUGGCGCAGCGGUAGAUGUUAUAGUUUAGGGGUAAAGCACUGUUACGUAUGCGGGCUGGUAAUUCGGUACCAAAUCGUUGCAAACUAAGAAUACUAAAUGUAUAGUCUACCAGUAAGACUGUGGGGGAUAAGCUCCAUUGUCAAGAGGGAAACAGCCCAGAGCACCAGUUAAGGCCCUUAAAUAAUUACUAAGUGGUAAAGGAGGUGGGAGUGCAUAAACAAUCAGGAGGUUUGCUUAGAAGCAGCAAUCCUUUAAAGAGUGCGUAAUAGCUCACUGAUCGAGUAAACCUGCGCCGAAAAUGUAUGGGACUAAGUAAUUUGCCGAAACUGUGCGAUAUAUAUUUAUAUAUCGGUAGGGGAGCGUUCUGUUGUAGGUCGAAGUAUUAGCGUAAGCGGAUAUGGACGAAGCAGAAGUGAGAAUGUCGGCUUGAGUAACGAAAAUAUAGGUGGGAAUCCUAUACCCCGAAAACCCCAGGGUUUCUCCUGAAGGCUCGUCCGCGGAGGGGAAGUCAGGACCUAAGGCGAGGC
rnacentral:rRNA from 13 species